rnacentral:rRNA from 1 species
GAUGAACGCUGGCGGCGUGCCUAAUACAUGCAAGUCGAGCGAACAGACGAGGAGCUUGCUCCUCUGACGUUAGCGGCGGACGGGUGAGUAACACGUGGAUAACCUACCUAUAAGACUGGGAUAACUUCGGGAAACCGGAGCUAAUCCCGGAUAAUAUAUUGAACCGCAUGGUUCAAUAGUGAAAGACGGUUUUGCUGUCACUUCUAGCUGGAUCCGCGCCGCAUUAGCUAGUUGGUAAGGUAACGGCUUACCAAGGCAACGAUGCGUAGCCGACCUGAGAGGGUGAUCGGCCACACGGGAACUGAGACACGGUCCAGACUCCUACGGGAGGCAGCAGUAGGGAAUCUUCCGCAAUGGGCGAAAGCCUGACGGAGCAACGCCGCGUGAGUGAUGAAGGUCUUCGGAUCGUAAAACUCUGUUAUUAGGGAAGAACAAAUGUGUAAGUAACUAUGCACGUCUUGACGGUACCUAAUCAGAAAGCCACGGCUAACUACGUG